rnacentral:rRNA from 1 species
AGCAGCCGCGGCAAUUCCAGCUCCAAUAGCGUAUAUUAAAGUUGUUGCGGUUAAAAAAGCUCGUAGUUGAAUUUCGGGGGUCAGCAGGUUGGUCGUGCCACUGGUAUGUACUGGCUUUGCUGAUUCCUCCUUCUUGUAGAACCGUAAUGCCAUUAAUUUGGUGUUGCGGGGAAACAGGACUGUUACUUUGAAAAAAAUUAGAGUGUUUAAAGCAGGCUAACGCUUGAAUACAUUAGCAUGGAAUAAUGAAAUAGGACGAGCGAUCCUAUUUUGUUGGUUUCUAGGAUUGACGUAAUGAUUAAUAGGGAUAGUUGGGGGCAUUAGUAUUCAAUUGUCAGAGGUGAAAUUCUUGGAUUUAUUGAAGACUAACUACUGCGAAAGCAUUUGCCAAGGAUGUUUUCAUUAAUCAAGAACGAAAGUUAGGGGAUCGAAGACGAUCAGAUACCGUCGUAGUCUUAACCAUAAACUAUGCCGACUAGGGAUCGGAUGAUGUUAAUUUUAUAAUGACUCAUUCGGCGUC